rnacentral:rRNA from 1 species
CAACGGUGGAGCCUGCGGUUUAAUCGGACUCAACGCCGGGAAACUCACCAGAUAAGACAGCUGAAUGAUAGUCGGGCUGAAGACUCUACUUGACUAGCUGAGAGGAGGUGCAUGGCCGUCGUCAGUUCGUACUGUGAAGCAUCCUGUUAAGUCAGGCAACGAGCGAGACCCACGCCAACAGUUGCCAGCUCGUCCUCCGGGAUGGUGGGGACACUGUUGGGACCGCCUCUGCUAAAGAGGAGGAAGGAAUGGGCACGGUAGGUCAGCAUGCCCCGAAUUAUCUGGGCUACACGCGGGCUACAAUGGGUGGGACAAUGGGUAUCGACACCGAAAGGUGAAGGCAAUCUCCUAAACCCAUCCGUAGUUCGGAUUGUGGGCUGCAACUCGCCCACAUGAAGCUGGAAUCUGUAGUAAUCGUGUCUCAAAAUGGCACGGUGAAUAUGUCCCUGCUCCUU